UGGACAGGGCUAGGGUGUAAAAGAGC
rnacentral:piRNA from 1 species